rnacentral:lncRNA from 1 species
UGAAUAAAUGUUAUUCAAAUAAGUGGCCAGAUUGCCUGCCACAUCAUGGAAUGUCAACAAAACUUUCAACCAAAAUAUAAAGUUAGCAAAACUAUUCUUCCAAAAAGCCCAUUAGCGGCAUUACUGCUCUCCAUUUCUUGUGCGAUCCAAAUGAUUUUAUGCAGGGUUGCCUUUUAAUCAAUGUGUGGUUGUUCAGUGCCCUAUUGUUUCACUUUUAUGGAGAUCUUACAAGUGAACUACUGGUGAGAGGUCUAACGAGUGAACUUCGUUAUAUUAGGAGAGUUAAUCGAUUCAUUCACAAGUAGCAAAGAAAAAAGGGAGGGAAGAGGAAACAGAAAA